GACGAACGCUGGCGGCGUGCUUAACACAUGCAAGUCGAACGGAAAGGCCCUGCUUUUGUGGGGUGCUCGAGUGGCGAACGGGUGAGUAACACGUGAGUAACCUGCCCUUGACUUUGGGAUAACUUCAGGAAACUGGGGCUAAUACCGGAUAGGAGCUCCUGCUGCAUGGUGGGGGUUGGAAAGUUUCGGCGGUUGGGGAUGGACUCGCGGCUUAUCAGCUUGUUGGUGGGUAGUGGCUUACCAAGGCUUUGACGGGUAGCCGGCCUGAGAGGGUGACCGGCCACAUUGGGACUGAGAUACGGCCCAGACUCCUACGGGAGGCAGCAGUGGGGAAUAUUGCACAAUGGGCGGAAGCCUGAUGCAGCAACGCCGCGUGCGGGAUGACGGCCUUCGGGUUGUAAACCGCUUUCGCCUGUGACGAAGCGUGAGUGACGGUAAUGGGUAAAGAAGCACCGACUAACUACGUG
rnacentral:rRNA from 1 species